AUGAACGCUGGCGGCGUGCUUAACACAUGCAAGUCGAACGGAAAGGCCCAAGCUUGCUUGGGUACUCGAGUGGCGAACGGGUGAGUAACACGUGGGUGAUCUGCCCUGCACUUCGGGAUAAGCCUGGGAAACUGGGUCUAAUACCGGAUAGGACGAUGGUUUGGAUGCCAUUGUGGAAAGUUUUUUCGGUGUGGGAUGAGCUCGCGGCCUAUCAGCUUGUUGGUGGGGUAAUGGCCUACCAAGGCGUCGACGGGUAGCCGGCCUGAGAGGGUGUACGGCCACAUUGGGACGGAGAUACGGCCCAGACUCCUACGGGAGGCAGCAGUGGGGAAUAUUGCACAAUGGGCGCAAGCCUGAUGCAGCGACGCCGCGUGGGGGAUGACGGCCUUCGGGUUGUAAACUCCUUUCGCUAGGGACGAAGCGUUUUUGUGACGGUACCUGGAGAAGAAGCACCGGCUAACUACGUG
rnacentral:rRNA from 1 species